GUGGGGAAUCUUGCGCAAUGGCCGCAAGGCUGACGCAGCGACGCCGCGUGUGGGAUGACGGCCUUCGGGUUGUAAACCACUGUCGGGAGGAACGAAUACGCGACGUGAGUCGCGGGUGACGGUACCUCCAAAGGAAGCACCGGCUAACUCCGUGCCAGCAGCCGCGGUAAUACGGAGGGUGCGAGCGUUGUCCGGAAUCACUGGGCGUAAAGGGCGCGUAGGCGGCCCGUUAAGUCACUGGUGAAAUCCCGCUGCUCAACGGCGGGGCUGCCGGUGAGACUGGCGAGCUAGAGCACGGUAGGGGCAGAUGGAAUUCCCGGUGUAGCGGUGGAAUGCGUAGAGAUCGGGAAGAAUACCAGUGGCGAAGGCGUUCUGCUGGGCCGUUGCUGACGCUGAGGCGCGACAGCGUGGGGAGCAAACAGGAUUAGAAACCCUAGUAGUCC
rnacentral:rRNA from 1 species